CGGUGGCUGUGACCCGCACACGGCAGAGGGCUGAGUCCUGCACACAGGGUUGCGGGGCUCGCACUAGGCUGUAAUCACUCACUCGCCCCUCUGCACAUACCGGGUGCUGCCCCCUCUCUGUCCCCAUCUAUUCCCUUGCACACAGCAGAGUUCAACCCGUCUCCGGCGGUGCUGUACACCCCAAACCCUCCUGCACACCCUGAGGGGGUUCCCACCUCUAUUCUUCAUCUCCUAUGGGACGCUGACGCCACCCAUUCCAUCUUCUCUCUCGGGUGCUACCAGCCACGUCCCAUUUCCCCUAACCCCCUAGGGCGCUGUGUCCCCCCCCAGACAUCUGCACAGAGACAGGCAGCGUUGCUGUCAUGCCUGAAGUCCCUCUUCCCCCCUCCAAUUGGGAUGCUGACCCCCAUUCUUGCUCCCUCUAUCCCCCACCAUACAAACAAUGGCAUGCUGCCUCAUACAUUUUGGUGGACUCGAUGGUCUUGGAGCUCUUUUCCAAUCUUAACAGUGCCACGAUUCCAUGAUUUCCACCCUCCACCAUUUCCAUCUCUCUCAAGCUGGGGUGGUGCCCCACUUCCCGUAAUGCCCCCUAGUCCCUGGCAGCCUUCACUGUCUCCCGCCCUCUGCCAAGAGCUGGCUUCAACCCAAAGCUGCCGGUAAUUUUCCAUUAUUCAGGCUGCAGUUCCGCUCCGCUGAGCUCUCCAGAUCGAUGGGCCGCUGGCCGGCACGCCGCUGUCACGGGGGUGGGCGGUGUUCCCCCUCCCCGCGACAAAGGUUGCCCUUCCGGAGGACUCUGGCUGGGGAUGCGCCGUCCCCCGGGCAAAGCUGCAUAGCGGCAGUCCCUGUUGGUAGCUGGGGACACCGUCCGGCUGUCAUACGCUUGUCACGUGGUGUUCAAAACCCAGCCGGAACGGCUUUUUAGGGUGGUUCGCUAGCAGGAUGUGAGUCAGGGUGGUGAUGCAGGUGCUGCUGCUGGGAGCGUUAUCUCUGGUCCACACCCGAACAUUGCUUAUCGGGGACCCCCAUGUGCCAUGGCGGCUGCCACUGCCCCUCACUGCUGCUGCCAUACAUCCCCGGGAGUGAAGGGUCUGUGUGGCCAUGAUGGGAGCAGACACUGGUGAGGGCAGCGUGGGCACAGGAGCUGGGCAGGGGGAAGGAGAGCUGUGCCAUCCCAGAGUGGGCGGCAAACUUUGGAGGCUUUCUAGAAAAGCUUCAAAACACCCUGAUGCUUCCUGGCAGGAGGGCGGCUGGUUUGAAGGUAUAUAGCCAGGUGUUUCUCCGUUGGACAUGCAGGCAUGGUCGGGGUAGAGUUCAGCAUUCCCAUGAGGCUGAGCCAGCAGCACAGGUGCUGCCAGGCUGGUACUGCUGCCCUCCAUGCCUGGCUGUGCCUAGGCACAAGGGCUUUCCUGUGGUGUCCAUAGAAGACUUUCAGACAGGCUCUGCCUACGCCUGUACCCCUCCUGCUGAUGGGUGGCAGUGGUUUGUGAGCUGGCUGGGCUGUGCUGCUCCUCUCCUGCUGCAGACUUGGGGUUUGUACAUGUGGUACUCCUGGCUAGGUGAGUUCUCCCAGUGCUGUGUGGGCCAUUCAGAUCCAAGAGAGUUCCCAAUGCAUCCCUGCCCAAGUCCCAGUGGGAUUUGCCUGGAUAUCAGGAAAAGGGUCUUCACCCAGAGGAUAGUCCCAAGGCUGCCAGAGCUCAAGGAGAAUUUUGACAAUCAGCAUAAGGUAGGAUUGUUGUCGUCUGCAGGGCUAGGAGUGGAACUUGAUGUCCUCAUUUGUCCCUUCCACCUCAGAAUGUUCUAUAAUUCUAUGAACAGGUACCAAGCCCAGGGUGGCAUUGGAAGGGUUAUGUUGAAUGGUGUUCCUUGCCAACCAUCAUUCUGGGUCCUCCCUGGCUCUGUUUGGGUUAAAAUCCCAAAUUCUCAGUGCUUUUCUAGGGCUAGUGCUGAGUUGGGCUGCAUGUGGUUGAGAAGGGUGGGGAGUCCUGCGUUCUUGACUGCUGGACUCUGGAGCUGUGUCCUUUCCUUUGGUGAAUGCUUCAGGAUUGUGCUGCUGCCAGCCAGGAAGCAGAGUCACAAAACACAGCAGUCAGUGAGUAUUUUGGCCUCUUUAUGCUGUCUUUCAUUGUUCUUCUGGAGCAAGCCCGAUGUAAUGGCAGGGAAAUACCCUUUCCAACCUAGCAAUGGGCUGUGGCACCUCUUCCACAGCCUUCCUGGCUGGGAACAACAAUGCAAAGUGGGCAAGAACUGGCUUAUCCUGCCUGCUGCAGGCCCCUGCCUGCCCUGCUUAGGCUGGUAUCCAGGAGUCUGCCAGCUUGUCCCAGGAGGCCUCAGCCACGUGCUGAAGGCUGCUGCCAGGUCAUGGUGACACAGCUGGAAAAUAAGUGUCCUGCAGGCAGCAGAGGGCUGGGGCUUCAGUGUGGCUUCAGCGUGGCUGCAGCUUUGGGUGGGGCUGGAGAGGCCACACUCAGCAGGAGCUUCUGGUACCUGUGGGGUGAAACAGCGUGGAGGUGGUGGUAGCCCCCUGGCAGUCUUGGGCCCAUUGCUGGCCCCCAGGCAUCCCAAGACUGCAGAUGGAUUAGGGGUGUGCUGACACAGUGGAGGAACUAUCCUGCCCCUAGCAUUGUCAGAUGCUUUUCAGACUGCCAUGCAGAGUGCGAAAUUGUUUUCCUCUAAAAAUUCCUUGUGUGGAUAUCUGGCACUUGUCUCAGUGUGGGUUCACUGUCCCCAGCCUGGCCAAUGCUGCUCCCAGAGCUGCCACCUCCCCUUCUCCUCUUGUUUCCAGUGCUGCUGCCACCUGUGCUCUGUCAGCAUGUGCCUGGGAUAAUGGAGCAGCUUCUGUUUAGCUUGAAGCUCUCCAAGGUGAUCCUGUGGUGGUCCUGGGCUGGUGUGUGCUGACAACUCCCACUGGAGCAGGUUGAAGCCUCCAG